AAUUGGACAACACAACCUAUUAAAAAAAUUCCAAAGUGGGGCAUGGAUCCAGCGUAAAAAUUCUAACUUAAAUGGCUGUGUCUUCAACGUUGUCAUUUACCUGGUAAAGGUACAUACGGGGGUAUUGCUGUACUCAGAUGACAUAGCGGAGCAACAUAUGAUGUAUUAUACUGCUGUAGCACAUAUAAGGUUUGCAAAAUAUAUAUUACAAAC